rnacentral:rRNA from 1 species
UUUAUUCUGGUUAGAUGAAGCUGGGGCAGGGUUAACACAUGCAAGUGAUCGGAUGAGUGGAGCUUGUUCCAUGAUUCAGCGGCGGACGGGUGAGUAAUGCCUAGGAAUCUGCCUGGUAGUGGGGGACAACGUUUCGAAAGGAACGCUAAUACCGCAUACGUCCUACGGGAGAAAGCAGGGGACCUUCGGGCCUUGCGCUAUCAGAUGAGCCUAGGUCGGAUUAGCUAGUAGGUGAGGUAAUGGCUCACCUAGGCGACGAUCCGUAACUGGUCUGAGAGGAUGAUCAGUCACACUGGAACUGAGACACGGUCCAGACUCCUACGGGAGGCAGCAGUGGGGAAUAUUGGACAAUGGGCGAAAGCCUGAUCCAGCCAUGCCGCGUGUGUGAAGAAGGUCUUCGGAUUGUAAAGCACUUUAUCGUUCGGGA